rnacentral:rRNA from 1 species
CGGCGUCGAGCGGCGGACGGGUGAGUAAUGCCUAGGAAAUUGCCCUGAUGUGGGGGAUAACCAUUGGAAACGAUGGCUAAUACCGCAUAAUGCCUACGGGCCAAAGAGGGGGACCUUCGGGCCUCUCGCGUCAGGAUAUGCCUAGGUGGGAUUAGCUAGUUGGUGAGGUAAUGGCUCACCAAGGCGACGAUCCCUAGCUGGUCUGAGAGGAUGAUCAGCCACACUGGAACUGAGACACGGUCCAGACUCCUACGGGAGGCAGCAGUGGGGAAUAUUGCACAAUGGGCGCAAGCCUGAUGCAGCCAUGCCGCGUGUGUGAAGAAGGCCUUCGGGUUGUAAAGCACUUUCAGUCGUGAGGAAGGUGGUAUUG